rnacentral:rRNA from 1 species
AGCGUACACGGUGGAUGCCCUGGCAGUCAGAGGCGAUGAAGGGCGUGCUAAUCUGCGAUAAGCGCCGGUAAGGUGAUAUGAACCGUUAUAACCGGCGAUACCCGAAUGGGGAAACCCAGUGUGAUUCGUCACMCUAUCAUUAACUGAAUCCAUAGGUUAAUGAGGCGAACCGGGGGAACUGAAMCAUCUAAGUACCCCGAGGAAAAGAAAUCAACCGAGAUUCCCCCAGUAGCGGCGAGCGAACGGGGAGGAGCCCAGAGCCUGAAUCAGCAUGUGUGUUAGUGGAAGCGUCUGGAAAGGCGCGCGAUACAGGGUGACAGCCCCGUACACAAAAGCGUAUGUGCUGUGAGCUCGAUGAGUAGGGCGGGACACGUGGUAUCCUGUCUGAAUAUGGGGGGACCAUCCUCCAAGGCUAAAUACUCCUGACUGACCGAUAGUGAACCAGUACCGUGAGGGAAAGGCGAAAAGAACCCCGGCGAGGGGAGUGAAAAAGAACCUGAAACCGUGUACGUACAAGCAGUGGGAGCACCCUUUGGGGUGUGACUGCGUACCUUUUGUAUAAUGGGUCAGCGACUUAUAUUCUGUAGCAAGGUUAACCGAAUAGGGGAGCCGGAGGGAAACCGAGUCUUAAUUGGGCGUUAAGUUGCAGGGUAUAGACCCGAAACCCGGUGAUCUAGCCAUGGGCAGGUUGAAGGUUGGGUAACACUAACUGGAGGACCGAACCGACUAAUGUUGAAAAAUUAGCGGAUGACCUGUGGCUGGGGGUGAAAGGCCAAUCAAACCGGGAGAUAGCUGGUUCUCCCCGAAAGCUAUUUAGGUAGCGCCUCGUGAAUUCAUCUCCGGGGGUAGAGCACUGUUUCGGCUAGGGGGCCAUCCCGGCUUACCAACCCGAUGCAAACUGCGAAUACCGGAGAAUGUUAUCACGGGAGACACACGGCGGGUGCUAACGUCCGUCGUGAAGAGGGAAACAACCCAGACCGCCAGCUAAGGUCCCAAAGUCAUGGUUAAGKGGGAAACGAUGUGGGAAGGCCCAGACAGCCAGGAUGUUGGCUUAGAAGCAGCCAUCAUUUAAAGAAAGCGUAAUAGCUCACUGGUCGAGUCGGCCUGCGCGGAAGAUGUAACGGGGCUAAACCAUGCACCGAAGCUGCGGCAGCGACGCUUAUGCGUUGUUGGGUAGGGGAGCGUUCUGUAAGCCUGUGAAGGUGGCCUGUGAGGGUUGCUGGAGGUAUCAGAAGUGCGAAUGCUGACAUAAGUAACGAUAAAGCGGGUGAAAAGCCCGCUCGCCGGAAGACCAAGGGUUCCUGUCCAACGUUAAUCGGGGCAGGGUGAGUCGACMCCUAAGGCGAGGCCGAAAGGCGUAGUCGAUGGGAAACGGGUUAAUAUUCCCGUACUUGGUGUUACUGCGAAGGGGGGACGGAGAAGGCUAUGUUGGCCGGGCGACGGUUGUCCCGGUUUAAGCGUGUAGGUGUGUGUUCCAGGUAAAUCCGGUUCACUUUAACMCUGAGGCGUGACGACGAGGCACUACGGUGCUGAAGCAACAAAUGCCCUGCUUCCAGGAAAAGCCUCUAAGCAUCAGGUAACAUCAAAUCGUACCCCAAACCGACACAGGUGGUCAGGUAGAGAAUACCAAGGCGCUUGAGAGAACUCGGGUGAAGGAACUAGGCAAAAUGGUGCCGUAACUUCGGGAGAAGGCACGCUGACACGUAGGUGAAGUGAUUUACUCAUGGAGCUGAAGKCAGUCGAAGAUACCAGCUGGCUGCAACUGUUUAUUAAAAMCACAGCACUGUGCAAACACGAAAGKGGACGUAUACGGUGUGACGCCUGCCCGGKGCCGGAAGGUUAAUUGAUGGGGUCAGCGCAAGCGAAGCUCCUGAUCGAAGCCCCGGUAAACGGCGGCCGUAACUAUAACGGUCCUAAGGUAGCGAAAUUCCUUGUCGGGUAAGUUCCGACCUGCACGAAUGGCGUAAUGAUGGCCAGGCUGKCUCCACCCGAGACUCAGUGAAAUUGAACUCGCUGUGAAGAUGCAGKGUACCCGCGGCAAGACGGAAAGACCCCGUGAACCUUUACUAUAGCUUGACACUGAACAUUGAGCCUUGAUGUGUAGGAUAGGUGGGAGGCUUUGAAGCGUGGACGCCAGUCUGCGUGGAGCCGACCUUGAAAUACCACCCUUUAAUGUUUGAUGUUCUAACGUGGACCCGUAAUCCGGGUUGCGGACAGUGUCUGGUGGGUAGUUUGACUGGGGCGGUCUCCUCCUAAAGAGUAACGGAGGAGCACGAAGGUUGGUUAAUCCUGGUCGGACAUCAGGAGGUUAGUGCAAUGGCAUAAGCCAGCUUGACUGCGAGCGUGACGGCGCGAGCAGGUGCGAAAGCAGGUCAUAGUGAUCCGGUGGUUCUGAAUGGAAGGGCCAUCGCUCAACGGAUAAAAGGUACUCCGGGGAUAACAGGCUGAUACCGCCCAAGAGUUCAUAUCGACGGCGGUGUUUGGCACCUCGAUGUCGGCUCAUCMCAUCCUGGGGCUGAAGUAGGUCCCAAGGGUAUGGCUGUUCGCCAUUUAAAGUGGUACGCGAGCUGGGUUUAGAACGUCGUGAGACAGUUCGGUCCCUAUCUGCCGUGGGCGCUGGAGAACUGAGGGGGGCUGCUCCUAGUACGAGAGGACCGGAGUGGACGCAUCACUGGUGUUCGGGUUGUCAUGCCAAUGGCACUGMCCGGUAGCUAAAUGCGGAAGAGAUAAGUGCUGAAAGCAUCUAAGCACGAAACUUGCCCCGAGAUGAGUUCU